rnacentral:rRNA from 1 species
AUUGAACGCUGGCGGCAGGCCUAACACAUGCAAGUCGAGCGGCAGCGGGAAAGUAGCUUGCUACUUUUGCCGGCGAGCGGCAGACGGGUGAGUAAUGCCUGGGGAUCUGCCCAGUCGGGGGGGAUAACUACUGGAAACGGUAGCUAAUACCGCAUACGCCCUACGGGGGAAAGCAGGGGACCUUCGGGCCUUGCGCGAUUGGAUGAACCCAGGUGGGAUUAGCUAGUUGGUGAGGUAAUGGCUCACCAAGGCGACGAUCCCUAGCUGGUCUGAGAGGAUGAUCAGCCACACUGGAACUGAGACACGGUCCAGACUCCUACGGGAGGCAGCAGUGGGGAAUAUUGCACAAUGGGGGAAACCCUGAUGCAGCCAUGCCGCGUGUGUGAAGAAGGCCUUCGGGUUGUAAAGCACUUUCAGCGAGGAGGAAAGGUUGGUAGCUAAUAACUGCCAGCUGUGACGUUACUCGCAGAAGAAGCACCGGCUAACUCCGUGCCAGCCGCCGCGGUAAAAC